GAUGAACGCUGGCGGCGUGCCUAACGCAUGCAAGUCGAGCGGCAGCGCGGUCUUCGGACUGGCGGCGAGCGGCGGACGGCUGAGUAACGCGUGGGAACGUGCCCCAAAGUGAGGGAUAAGCACCAGAAAUGGUGUCUAAUACCGCAUAUGGUCUUCGGAUUAAAGCUUCGGCGCUUUGGGAGCGGCCCGCGUCUGAUUAGAUAGUUGGUGAGGUAAAGGCUCACCAAGUCGACGAUCAGUAGCUGGUCUGAGAGGAUGAUCAGCCAGACUGGAACUGAGACACGGUCCAGACUCCUACGGGAGGCAGCAGUGAGGAAUCUUCCACAAUGGGGGCAACCCUGAUGGAGCAACGCCGCGUGCAGGAUGAAGGCCUUCGGGUCGUAAACUGCUUUUAUUAGCGAAGAACAUGACGGUAACUAAUGAAUAAGGGUCGGCUAACUACGUGCCAGCAGCCGCCGUAA
rnacentral:rRNA from 1 species